GAUGAACGCUGGCGGCGUGCUUAACACAUGCAAGUCGAACGGUGAACGAGGGAGCUUGCUCCCUCCGGAUCAGUGGCGAACGGGUGAGUAACACGUGAGCAAUCUGCCCUGGACUCUGGGAUAAGCGUUGGAAACGACGUCUAAUACCGGAUACGAGGCGUGGGGGCAUCCCCAACGCCUGGAAAGAACUUCGGUCCAGGAUGAGCUCGCGGCCUAUCAGCUUGUUGGUGAGGUAACGGCUCACCAAGGCGACGACGGGUAGCCGGCCUGAGAGGGUGACCGGCCACACUGGGACUGAGACACGGCCCAGACUCCUACGGGAGGCAGCAGUGGGGAAUAUUGCACAAUGGGCGCAAGCCUGAUGCAGCAACGCCGCGUGAGGGACGACGGCCUUCGGGUUGUAAACCUCUUUUAGCAGGGAAGAAGCGAAAGUGACGGUACCUGCAGAAAAAGCACCGGCUAACUACGUGCCAGCCGCCGCUGUAACAC
rnacentral:rRNA from 1 species